rnacentral:tRNA from 1 species
GCGCCUGUAGCUCAGUUGGAUAGAGCACCGGCCUCCGGAGCCGGGUGCGGGGGUUCGAGUCCCUCCAGGCGUACCA